GCUAGGGUUGGCCACAAAGUUCUAGUUGUUUCCUGGGGUUGUUGGGAAAUGACAACCUCUGCUGUGUUAAGACUUCCUUAUUCUCGAGGGUUUGGGAGUGACAUUAACCUAACACACACGGAUUAGAGCCUUGUGAUCCCCUCCACCGGCCAGCGCCCAGAGAGAGCCAGCGUCCUUCUGGGGCCUUGGGGCCUCAUCUGUGAAACACUCUGCCGUGUGAGAGGAUGCCAUAAGGUCACUGGCAUGAAGUGUGUAGUGUCCUGCACAGGUACUUGUGAGUCAACCCGAGCCGCACAACUGUGUCUAGCACACUCCGUCGCUGCCCCUACCAUCAUGUGGGACGAGCUGUCCCCCUGGAGGCCCCACGGUCCCUUCUAGAGACAUUCCGAAGCAUCCAGAGACUGGGGACCCACACGUGCCGCUGGCCUCGCGGAGCCCGAGAUGCGGAGAUAAAGGAACCAGCCCAGAGAGGCUAAGUGACAUGAGACCUACACAUGAGAGACGUAAGAUUUGAACCCAGGUCCCUGCUCCAAAGCCUACUGCACCAUGUGGCUGCUUGGGCACCUCACUCCCCUUUCUGCUACUCCUCCCACUGAGCCCUUCCUGUGACUCUAGUCUGGCCCUAUAACCUGAUUCAACCAAUAAAACAUGGUAGAGGCAA